CUAGCUAGGGCCAGUAACACUAGGAUUGAUACUAGGAUUUCCCUUCAAGUUCUUUAUGUUGAAGUAAAUAAAUCAGCCCCUCCCCAUCCCGCUGCCUCCCAUGGGAUGGGCAGGGGCUGGGGUGCCCCAAUGGCAGGAGGUGGGGGUGUCCUGGGAUGUGUCUUAAUAAGUAGUCUCCAGCUGUGCUGACUUCCAUUGCUCACAUUCAUUUAUUAUAUUAAAACACUGACAAAACACAUCACAUCAUGAUCUAUAUAUAUAAAUUUAUUUUUAUACAGUUAUAAAUUUAUAUAUAUAAGACCCUUAAACUUCUGUAUACUCACACAAAGUUUGGGAUAGCUUCACUGGCUACAACAAAAGUAUUUUUGUUAUGAAAACACAAAAAGGGGAUGUGCAAAUAUCAAAAACGCUGAAAAAUAAAAAUAAUAACAAGUGCAAAAUGAAUGAAAGUGCAAAAAGGCUUUAUCAUAAUCACACUCUUUCCAAAACAUACCCCUCUUUUUCUCCUCCCAAGAAGGAAGGGGUGGAUCAGAGGGACUGAGCUGUGCUGCAGCACUCGGCUAUUUCCCUCUCCUGUGCACCAAGGGGUCACCCCAAAGAGGUUGAGGACUGAGGAAUGGAAGAGCAGAAGCAUCCAAGUUGUGUUUCUCUCAAGGCUCCCUCCUCUUCUCCAACUCCUUUCAUUUCACUCAACUCCUCCGACUGCCUCUGCAGGAGGCAGCUGCCCUAAGCCAUAAUCACACCCAGACAAACUUGGUCUCUGGCAAGACAGAAAAUUGCCACCCUCCUUGCUGAGCUUCAGGCUGGCUGCUCUCAGAAAUGGAGACCUCAGUCUCGCACCAUCAUGCUGUCUGUUUCCACAAGGAAAAUCCCUUCUCAAGAGGCUCCAACCAUCCCCAUGCACCCAGAGCCACCUGUGGAACAGCCACCCCAGAAGAUGCCUUGUGCCUGAGGCCAGUGUUUGGUGGGACAUCCCACAUGGCUCCAGCAGGAACAGGAACAAUGGGAGCACAGGCGUGGGGACCCUCUAGCCACAAAUACAUUUGACUUCAAAAACCCUUCAUUGACUUAGAAGCUUUUGCUGUCAUCACAGCUCUCAGGAAGGCCCCAGACCUGUGGGCCCAAUUCAGUCCCUGUGUUGACUCCAGCUUCUCGGUGACAUGCCAGUGGAUGUUCCUGCAGAGUCUCGUUGGGCGAAAAGGGAAGGAAACUUUGGGCCUUCUGCCUUGGUCACAACUGCCCUUGAUGCUUCCUGAAGAGGGCCUCCUGGUCAAUGCUCUGUGGAGACAGAGGACUUGCCAAGCCAGGGGUGCAAGCGAACCUUCCUUCUCCUUGCCUCCUUCUUGGGACCAGAGACAACUUCUGCUCAUGGAGAAUGUGUUGCCUGAGACCCUGGGCCGGGGUCUGCCACCUCCAUGGCUUCAGAGACCAUCACAAUAAAACAGCAUCACACCAACAGUGGAGGACAUGAUAUUGUGAUUUUUCCACACUGGUACCCACAAACACCCAUCCACAUGUACACACAAUACUUUGGGUUUGGUUUCCUUUUUAAAGGAAAGAAAAAGCCUUAAAAGAUUUAACAGCAAAUAGCCCUUGACCAUCUACAAACCCUAUAACUCUUUCACCUAAAACAACCCAGAAGAUUUGUACCCAAAGGGUUGAGAGGAGCCAGCCUAAGAGGCUGAAGAACUGGUGUUCAAGCAGCAGGCAAGUGUGUGCAGCAGAGACCCUCCCCUUUCAAGUGGGGCUGGUUUUCCUGACAGCUGCUCCCUGGGCAGAGCUCAGACCCUGCAGAGGCUGGGAUCCAGCUCUGCAGCCAGACCUCACAGCCAAGGGAAAACACCUCAGCAGUCUUGCAGAGGGUAAGCACCUCUGAAG